CGCUGAUGCGUUGUUGGGUAGGGGAGCGUUCUGCAAGCCUGUGAAGCGGUGUCGUGAGGCAUGCUGGAGGUAUCAGAAGUGCGAAUGCUGACAUAAGUAACGAUAAAGCGGGUGAAAAGCCCGCUCGCCGGAAGACCAAGGGUUCCUGUCCAACGUUAAUCGGGGCAGGGUGAGUCGACCCCUAAGGCGAGGCCGAAAGGCGUAGUCGAUGGGAAACGGGUUAAUAUUCCCGUACUUGGUGUUACUGCGAAGGGGGGACGGAGAAGGCUAUGUUGGCCGGGCGACGGUUGUCCCGGUUUAAGCGUGUAGGUGUGUGUUCCAGGUAAAUCCGGUUCACUUUAACACUGAGGCGUGACGACGAGGCACUACGGUGCUGAAGCAACAAAUGCCCUGCUUCCAGGAAAAGCCUCUAAGCAUCAGGUAACACGAAAUCGUACCCCAAACCGACACAGGUGGUCAGGUAGAGAAUACCAAGGCGCUUGAGAGAACUCGGGUGAAGGAACUAGGCAAAAUGGUGCCGUAACUUCGGGAGAAGGCACGCUGACACGUAGGUGAAGUGAUUUACUCAUGGAGCUGAAGUCAGUCGAAGAUACCAGCUGGCUGCAACUGUUUAUUAAAAACACAGCACUGUGCAAACACGAAAGUGGACGUAUACGGUGUGACGCCUGCCCGGUGCCGGAAGGUUAAUUGAUGGGGUCAGCGUAAGCGAAGCUCCUGAUCGAAGCCCCGGUAAACGGCGGCCGUAACUAUAACGGUCCUAAGGUAGCGAAAUUCCUUGUCGGGUAAGUUCCGACCUYACCCGACAAGGAAUUUCGCUACCUUAGGACCGUUAUAGUUACGGCCGCCGUUUACCGGGGCUUCGAUCAGGAGCUUCGCUUGCGCUGACCCCAUCAAUUAACCUUCCGGCACCGGGCAGGCGUCACACCGUAUACGUCCACUUUCGUGUUUGCACAGUGCUGUGUUUUUAAUAAACAGUUGCAGCCAGCUGGUAUCUUCGACUGACUUCAGCUCCGUGAGUAAAUCACUUCACCUACGUGUCAGCGUGCCUUCUCCCGAAGUUACGGCACCAUUUUGCCUAGUUCCUUCACCCGAGUUCUCUCAAGCGCCUUGGUAUUCUCUACCUGACCACCUGUGUCGGUUUGGGGUACGAUUUGAUGUUACCUGAUGCUUAGAGGCUUUUCCUGGAAGCAGGGCAUUUGUUGCUUCAGCACCGUAGUGCCUCGUCAUCACGCCUCAGUGUUAAAGUGAACCGGAUUUACCUGGAACACACACCUACACGCUUAAACCGGGACAACCGUCGCCCGGCCAACAUAGCCUUCUCCGUCCCCCCUUCGCAGUAACACCAAGUACGGGAAUAUUAACCCGUUUCCCAUCGACUACGCCUU
rnacentral:rRNA from 1 species